CAUAAAACCUCACCGGCCCCUCGGUUUCGGGGCGUGUCGGUGGUCAUGGGCGUCUCGCCCCCUGGCCCGCGAGGGCUUCCGGGGGGCGUGGCCUGAAAGUCAUUGGUCGCUGGCCCCCUCAAGGGUUCCUCGGUGUGCGAGUCUCAUUGACGUCUCGCCGGGGACGGAAGGAGGGGGAGCGGAGACCCUAAACUGUUGAAC
rnacentral:misc_RNA from 1 species